UUUUGGUAAGACAUGGCAAAAUUUUGCUUUAUUAUUAUGCGUGUUUGCAAAACUUAAUUUACUGAAUAGCCAGCCAGCCACAGCAAGCAGUUCACGUAGAGCAGGGGGCGUGCGGACGGUGGAAGAAUGGCAAUGAAUGCCACAUAGAGUGUAACCUAAAUAUUUUUUUGUGGCCAUGGUGAUUUGCGAUUUCUAUUCACGUUUUUUUUGUUUUUCCAACGAUUUUGUUAUUUGUUUUGAUUAAAGCCAAUCAAUUGCCAGAUUGUUCUCGUUUAUCUGUUACUAUCUUUCUCAGCUGCUUGUCGAGAUGUUGAUGAUGAUGAUGAUGGGGAGGAACCAAAUGAAUAUGGCAAAGGCUACCGGUAUUUGGUUGUAAGUGAAUACAAGAUCACUCUCCCAUUUCAAUUGCUGGAAGGAACUUUACUAGGCCAAUAAAAAAAACUUUCUGCUCUAAUUCCCUGAGUUCCUGACUAUAAAAUUUAUCUUUUAUUUAUGCAGUCACAUACCAUGCGCUCUCAUGUGCUUGCGCAUAAGGGGUUUAACGUCGCCAUAUGUGUCAACUUUGAGUUGAGUAACAUUCCAUUUUUACUUUUUCUGCUUACAAAUUUCUAAAAAUCUGAUAAUGUAUUUCAUUUCAAACUAUAAUUUCAAUAAAAAUUGUCAAUAAAGCUGUUAAAAAUGAGUGUAAUACAAGAUUUCCUCGAUUCUAUGGACAGAAAAACAUUUUUGGAACAGUAAACAAGUCUAAAUCAUACGUUUUGCGCCCUAAACGCGUUUAAAAGCAAACAGUCAGUUAACUUAAUGCGUCACACGCUUAAUGGCGUUUUCCUAAUUAAACUUAAAAUUUGAAAUCAAACUUAAUUUUUGAAAAGCACUUGAGGAUGCGUGGAAAAUUUUAUCAGCUGUUUAUUUUCCUGCGUUGUGUAGUGAAUUCGCAAAAUAUACCAAAAGCGACAGCGUUGAAUUUGGGGUGUUGUAAAUGAAAUCAGAGCAUUUAUUCUCAAUUCGCAGAGGCAAGUCUGAACGAUUUGAAACCGCAAAAUGUUUGCCAUUUUCGAUUACCGAAACAUAAAUUAAGGUAGAAAUCGCAAUAAGCUUGCGAUUGCGAUUAUUGGAAUAGGCCUGAUAAACAUUUGACUAAAUUUGCCGACAAAAUGUUCAAUACUGAAAAUUUGUAGUCACCAUUCAUUCUACUGCUCUUUUUGUAUUUAUAUUUGAAAAAAAUCACUGAAAAAUGUUGUAUUCAAGAGAGUUGUCUGACACAAAUGUGUAGUUCUAUUGUAAUUUCUAAAUAAAAGUACGAAAUCUGGCAAAUAAAUAAAUAAUUUCUGCAGAAAAUGUGGUCACAGCUAUGUUGACAAAAUUUGUCAACAUUUUCUUAAAAAAUAAAUUGUUGACAACAUAUUUUGAAGAAAUUGAAAAAA
rnacentral:sRNA from 1 species